rnacentral:sRNA from 1 species
GCGUCCUGAGGAACUGAGGAUUUGGAAUUCGAGGUGAGGAUUAGGAGGUGGGACCCAAGUUGGCUUGCAGAGUUCUCUGUCUCACACAGAGUUCUCCAGAGGAAGUGAGCCAAUUACAAGAAGGGAAUUUACUGGACUGGCUUACGCGAUGGGGGCUAGUAACCUAGCAAUGGAUGUCUGCGGGCUAGAUAGGAAAAAAGCAGGUACCCAGCCCAGAGCAGAAACCUUGGCUGGAGACCUAGAAGCCCCUGGUGCUGAACCUACCUUGAAGGGCUGAGGCUGCAGUUGGAAGCAGGCCAGAUCAGUCGAGUCACUCAGAAAACAGAGAGGCUUGCAGACUUACUGCUGCCUCUUCACAGCCUCUUGACACCUGUGCCACAAACCCAUUAAAAGUGCCAUCUAAAGUACCCCCAUCCAGGUGGGUCUCUCCCCCAGGUGCUGCACCAUGACAUCCAUCCUUUCUGGAAAGAACCCCAAGGAACAAGUGCAUUCCUCAGGUCGGAUCUCUCUGUGUGCUCAUGUUGACAACAGCUAGGACCAGCCUUCCCAUCAGCCACAGAGGGAGGGGGGCAACUUAAAACAAGUGCCUUAGGUCUCAGAAAAAGCCUCGCUCCCCGGACGUGGGCAUGUGCCGUCAGGGCAGACUGGGAGCCCGAGGUCACUGGGGACAGUGUACUGACCAUGGUCGGUGGUGUGAUUCUGUCAAACCCGUGAGCACAACACCUGGGUGUAUAAAUAGGACAGAGAGGAGCUUGUGAGUUGGUCAGCUGUUACUGUCGGGAGUCAUUGAGAGUGCCCUUCAGUUCCGGACUCCAAGCCGACAAAGGCUGAGAAGACCCUGGACAAGGUCAGAGGGGAGAGAGCCUUGUAGAAUCACGGGCCUCUCAGCUAUUUGAAAAUGAGCACUCUGUGAUCUCUCAGCCUAGGGGGAAGCCAAGAACCUCCCCCCAAAACAUCCACGUGAACGAGAGUGAUCAGAGAUCCUGCUGUCUAGCACACAUGGAGGCCAGAAGACAACUUCCCGGACUGGAUCCUCUGCUUCCCUGUGGGGUUUCCAAGGCUUUGUGGCAAACGACUUAAUCCAUCGAACCAUCUCACAGCCCCUCAGCAGAUGCGGCUGAGGAGGAGCUCAUCUACAGGAACAGCGUUUACAGGUAAUUAUCUUGUUCCUCUCUCUGCUGUGGACCACUGCCCAUCCUCUGUCCCUUUGUCAACCUUCUUUUCAGCCAUGGGGCUGCUUUGUGAGGCCAAGGCCAGUUAAUGACAGAUAACAUCGUUUGGAAGCCUAAUUACACAGACGCAGAUCGCAACGUUUAAAUAACGGCUUCCAGCAAGCGGCCGGUGUAUACUGAUAUCAACUCAAACACCCACUCCUCAAAGAGGCUGGCUUACUCCUUAAUGCCCUGAUGUGGUCCGUGAAAGGUUCAGUUGUCAGCAUGCAUCCCGAGUGCUAGGAAGUUUGGUUUUGUGUCCCUUAAUAAAUGAGAUGUAAGUAUUAAUUAGCCCAUGGUCUAUUUAUACAUGGCAGUAUAUUACACGAGGAUAUUUUCACCCGGGAUGUGUACAUCCCAACUUCUUGACCCUUUUCUAAAACCCCAAUAAAUUGAUCUACAAAAGGUUUAAACCACCUUUUCAAAUCUUUCUGGGUAAGUUCAUGGCACACCAUGUGAAUUCAGUUCCAUCAAAACUCGAGGGUAUUUCCUUCAGGACAAGGUAAAGGAUAAACAGAAGUAGUUUUUCAAUGGAGGCCCACACUGUUCACCAUGUGGUAUCUCAAUGACUGAAAUUCAAUGGUGUGUAUGUUUCCAGGAUCUGAUGUACUGAAGCAGUAUACAUUCGGGCCAGAGAUGGCUUGCUGGUCAAGAACACUAACUGCUCUUUCAGAGGGUCUGAGUUCAGUUCCUAUCCCAUCCACAUCCAGCAGCUCAAAUCAGUCCAGAGCAACUGGACACCUCUGGCCUCUGAGGGUUCCUGUGCUCACUUUUACAUAUCUACAUGUAACUGAUGGGAGAGGUCGUGCAUGGAGUAUCUUCCCCUGUGUCUGCCUCAUGGCUUUUCCAUAUAUGGAGCCUCCCUGGCCCUCCAGUAGGUUGCCCUUCUACAGUAACUUCGUUCUGUGAUCUUUGUGGUCCCGGCAUGCUGCACACCCACACUUCUUACGUACUAGAUGGGGAGAGUCAUGAUGGUUUAGGUGGACAGACCUCCCCCUGUUCAGAAGCACGAGGCUGCUGUGCAGAGAUCAUAGACGGCAAAGCCGGUGUGCCUCCCUCCCCACAGCCUCUCGUGGCUCAGGCUGCUUGUGAUGUGUCCUUUGAUUGUCCCGUCUUUCCAGAGUCAUCUGGACACAGAGCAUCCAGUCUCCCUUUCAAAGGCUCCCUGCUUUCCUCUUGAUGAGCCAACCCAGCCCUGAGGCCUUUUUUCGAGUCCCCUGGAGUGCUGCUGGGUCUGCAGAGCAUGUGUCUGGUGUGGGCAAGUCUGUUUCAGUGUUCCCUGGCAUUCACUAUUACAAGAGGAAAAAAACCAGACUGAAGAUAGGCAAACAGAGGACAUUGCAUUUCAAAGACGGAAAACAUCGUGGUGCGGUCCUCUGAGCGCUGUACUGUAUAAGCAGCUGUAUGCCACAAUUCAUGUUCAUAUUAGCGAAAAGUCAGAACUGAAGGGUCCGUACGUUUUGUUAGAAGUAUACCGAUCAUCGAAAGUAAGUGCAGGAUUCUCUCAGAUGAUCUGUUAAGAUGAAGUCUGUGCCGAUCGUAACCAGCAGAACCAAGUCCACCUUAGCAUGGCCUCAUUUCGCAUGUGGCUAUGAUUCUACUUAUCAAUAAAAGACCAACGCUUGUUAAACAUUUUAAUCUAUCAAGCUUGGGUCAUACACUUCUUUUUCUGUCGCUGUAACUAAUCAGAUCCUUGAUUGGUAAAACCCCAGAUGCAAAGAAUUAAUUGACCAAACCCACUUGGGAGCACAAAACAUGACAUGGGCAAAAUCUAUUCAUCGAAGUAAGCCGUAAGGUUGCUAUGUGCAGACGGACUAAUGAUGGCACAGGGGAGCUGGUCUGUGGUCUGGAGCACUUGCUGUCCUUCCAGGGGACAGGAGUUCAGUUCCUAGCACACGUUAGGCAGCUAGAAACUGCCUGGAAUUCCAGUCCCUAGCGAUCCAACAACCUCUCCUGGCCUCCAUGGGCGCCCAUAUACAAUGUAGUAUACACAGGUCAUGCACACAAAUAAAUAAAAGAUUAACGAAAAUCAACUUGGUGAGUUUAAAGUUCUCCAGGUCAUUCGUUUCCUUCUGUGCUGUUGUGUCCUAGGUAAGGUAACUCUUUAACUCUUCAUGACUCGUCACAAGAUGUGUCUCUGCCCUCUUCCCUGAGUCCGUCUCUCCGAGGCUGUUUCCUGUUCCUUGCUUGGCCACUCACUGGCAGCAGGAAAUCACUUCAUCUGUUUUGGGCUUUCCUUUGCUUGUCCGACUUACAAGGGCAGUGAUAAAUUUCCUUCUUAGGUUCCUUGCCUCUCUUCGCUUUCAGAUUCUACGACUGGAGAAGCUGUUUUAGCUGCACUAGGCGUCUUUUCAUGGGUAGUUAUUCUUAAGCCAUAAGGUGCUUACACAUUUUUAAUUAGCCAAGGAAUCAACUGUGUGUUUGGAGGGAAAAGGAAAUCCAAUCCACAGUAACGAUAACAGAGAAGGCAUAGCCCCGCUCCCCGUGUGGUUCUUGUGUGGUGUCUUUGUAAGUCUUGCACUGAUUUCUUAAUUAAAUAAGGUCCUAUAACUUACACUGUGAUGUCCAGCAUGAGAGCAAAGGGCGUAUCAGAGGAUGUCCACUGCUGGCCCUGCCUAAGUUAUUCUGUGCAGACUGCAAGCUGAACCUCUUUAAAGCCAACAAUCCACCCGCUGGUCACUGCCACAGAUUUUAGCAAAUGUGUGUGGUGUGGUGUGUGUGGUGUGUGUGUGUGUUCUGUGUGUAUUGUGUGUGUGUGUGUCUC